AUACGGAGGAUCCGAGCGUUAUCCGGAUUUAUUGGGUUUAAAGGGUGCGUAGGCGGCCUUUUAAGUCAGCGGUGAAAGUCUGUGGCUCAACCAUAGAAUUGCCGUUGAAACUGGGGGGCUUGAGUAUGUUUGAGGCAGGCGGAAUGCGUGGUGUAGCGGUGAAAUGCAUAGAUAUCACGCAGAACCCCGAUUGCGAAGGCGGCCUGCCAAGCCAUGACUGACGCUGAUGCACGAAAGCGUGGGGAUCAAACAGGAUUAGAUACCCUGGUAGUCCACGCAGUAAACGAUGAUCACUAGCUGUUUGCGAUACACUGUAAGCGGCACAGCGAAAGCGUUAAGUGAUCCACCUGGGGAGUACGCCGGCAACGGUGAAACUCAAAGGAAUUGACGGGG
rnacentral:rRNA from 1 species